AGUGAACGCUGGCGGUAGGCCUAACACAUGCAAGUCGAACGAGAUCUUCGGGUCUAGUGGCGCACGGGUGCGUAACGCGUGGGAAUCUGCCCUUUGGUUCGGAAUAACAGUUGGAAACGACUGCUAAUACCGGAUGAUGACGAAAGUCCAAAGAUUUAUCGCCAGAGGAUGAGCCCGCGUAGGAUUAGCUAGUUGGUGUGGUAAAGGCGCACCAAGGCGACGAUCCUUAGCUGGUCUGAGAGGAUGAUCAGCCACACUGGGACUGAGACACGGCCCAGACUCCUACGGGAGGCAGCAGUGGGGAAUAUUGGACAAUGGGCGAAAGCCUGAUCCAGCAAUGCCGCGUGAGUGAUGAAGGCCUUAGGGUUGUAAAGCUCUUUUACCCGGGAUGAUAAUGACAGUACCGGGAGAAUAAGCUCCGGCUAACUCCGUGCCAGCCGCCGCCGUAA
rnacentral:rRNA from 1 species